UACACACCUGGGUCUUCCAGGUGCUUCCCAUCAGAGCAUCAGCAAGCAAUCUGUUUUACCCCUAUGGUAUCAGUCCCAGCUCCACAGAGCAAACCUAUUCUGAGGUCAAAACCAUCCCAUGGCAAAGGAACUCAACAAUGGACCACACAAAAUAAAAUAUACAUUUCUUUAUAAAUGAAAGCCCAGAAACAAACAGAACUAGGAGGAGGCUGAAAUUCAGGACCAAAUUCUGACCUUUCUGACAAUUAGUGUAAAAAGAAGUUGCAUGCUAUUUCUUCUGAAGGAUUUGAGAACAGCUCUUCUGGAAUUUUCCCACCAUAACAGUAAAAACCCAGGUCAUUCAGCUGACUGGGACAGUGAAAAGCUGCUAACAUUACCACUCUGUGUCAAUUGAAAAGGAGGAAGUGGCAUUCAGUUGGUGGGAAGCCCUGGAAGAGGAUGGGCUUGUCAAUGAAAUAUUUCUAUGAGCUUGGACUUCAAAUGGGUGUGGGAGGGGCCAAUGGACAUAUACAACUGGUAUGAAGGGCAAAGGGAAAUAUCAGACAAUACUUUAAAUAUAUAUGUUUAUAGGGGUGAGGUAUCAAACUAAGGUUUAGAGAUGGGAAUCUGCCACUGGGAAGCAGAGGUUUAAAAAUAUGGGAUAUGCAUUUAUUUAUUUUUAUUCUACAAUAUGGGCACAUAUUCUGCAAUCCUUACUUAUAGGCAAAUGCUGUCUUCUGAUAAUCUAUAUUAUGGUGACCAUACAUCCCGUUUUGGCUGGGACAGUCCCUUUCUUAAGUCCUGUCCCAACUUCUUUGGCAAAAGUGGGUUUGCUCUUACCAACUUGAUCAGCCAAAAAAGUGGCAUAUGAAAUACAGUUGGGUAGUUCUGAUACUGUCUAGUAGAGCACAGUAAUAAACAUGCUUUCUAUCUAGUUAAUUACAACAGUGGUUCAUUGGAGGUGACAUUUGGUAAAGCAUUUAUUUGCAGUAUAGUAUAUUUAUAGAUUCAAUCUGACAUUAUUCAAUAUGGUUUUCUCUUUUAGGAUUUUGUCUAUCUACAUUUUUAUUUCUUUGUUUAUUUUUGCAUUCUUACUAUUAUUUGACAAGCAGACACAAUUUAUAAAACAUAUUUUCCCUAGGUUUUCUACCUGAUUCAGGUAGAUGCACAUGACUCAUCUCAUUGAAGUCAAUGUAUCUUCCUGAACUGAGAGCUAAAUUGCAGAAGCCAACUAAUAUGUCUUGGUUAGAAGAGAAGUAUGUUGGUGCUAGAGCACUCAACAUUUUACAAUUUGAGGGGUAAAAUUAAAAAAUAAUGGUGAAAAAUCCUAAAAAAUUCAUGAAUCUACCACCUUCCCCCUUUCCCACCAGCUCCCAUUGCCACCAAAAUAUUUCUUUCAAGACAUCAGAUGAUGUUACUUUCCACACAACAUGUGAAAGUUCUACUAUCAUUAGACUAUUUUUAAAACUUUAUAAUAAUUCUCCUUAGUAUUUGCAAAUGAAAACUGACUUUACCAAUCUAGUCAAUUUU